ensembl:lncRNA
CCUGGUUCAGCACAAAGUGCUCUGAGUGGUGGAGCCUCUGUGGUGAUGCACAGCAGGUUGGAGGUGAAGGUGUCUGCUGGGGCUUUUCCUCUCCUCUGAGUCACCAAGUUUCUUCUGAAGCCACAGAACCAGGAAUUUCUGAUGUGGAAACCUUUUGUCUCUUCUGUGACAACAGUGAGAAGAAAUAGGAAGAUUUGACAACUGCAGGGGAGUUCCAGAUUAUGAUCUGUCUGAAAUCUCUCCAAAUUCCUGAACAACCUCCUGCUGUUAACACUACUACCAAAGUUGGGCCCUAGAGUCUACAGGGUCACCCAGAAUUGGUUUUCAGCUGGAGUUGAGUGCCUCCAGAGUAAAUCCAAGAAACAUUUGCAGGCAAAAAACCUUGGAGGAUCACGUUGCUCCAGUUGCUGGACACUUCCAAGUGGAAGGAGUGCAAAAUCCAAUUUUUCCCAUACUAAUCUCAACCAUACUCAACUUAUGCCCACUGAAGAGACUGAGCACGUUUUUGGGGUGGGUGUAACGUAUCCCCAGCUGGCACAGCCGUAGUGGGGCUGCUAUUAGCUCUCUGCCUUCUGCACAUCACAUCAGGGACACUGUGAGCCAUGUUCAGUCCAGAAUUGGAAUGGAUGUGAGGCUGAGGUGAAAGAGAUGAUAGAAAACUGCUCAGAAAUGAAGAGAAGUUUUGUAUUUUGUGAGCCUGACUUGCUAAAAAUGCCUCCGGAUUUUAUUCUUCAUUCAAAAACAGGCCCUUUCCUGAAUAGAAAUCUAUCUAUUUGAAGUCUAAGUGACUUUGAGAUUAAACAACAAAUUAGGUUUCUGGAUUUUCAAAUUCUAUUUUAAUUGAAUGUUCUAGCCAUGCAGAAUGUAAAGAAACUGAAAAUGUCUGAUGCCAAAUGGCACACUUAUUAUUUGAAAUUUGAUGACAAAUUUGUCCUUAUUUUUAUCCAAUUAUAAUAAGAGGUCCUUCUGUUACAAAACAUUACAAAGCAGAACUAAGGCCAGAGAGGUGCUAGAGAAAUCUUUUUUCUGUCAUGUGGAGCACUGUACAGAAUUGCGUGGGUUUAAACAAAAUGUAUCUUGAUGUUUUACCUUAAAACUCUCUGUCCUUUUCCUCAGUUCAGCUGAAUCCUAUGAAAUAGAUACGCAGCUUGGAGAAGUUCUUCACGCCCCCACAAAUGCUAAAAAUGGCCCUGAUACAACAUGUAUUUAUGUAACAAAAUCAUCUGCAUUAAUAUCUUCCUUUCCUUUCGGCGAGAAGCACAGGGGGGGACUCAGGCUGACACAUUUCAAUGCAGCCCCUUCCAUUCUUCUCCCUGCAUUUGGGGCAGCAGGGACAAGCACUGCUCUCCCUUAAAAACCAGGGCAAUGAAUGAACAGGAACAUGACGUGACUAUCAAUAGCGAGUUUGAGGGAAGAUUGUGGUCCGAGCUUUCAGGUUCUCUCCCCCUGAAUAUUCAGUUUCCUGUCACAGAUCAAAAUCACUUGUUACAAGGAUUCUGGCCGCUCUCGUUGUGCUGAUGUUCCAAAAUAAAGAGAGCAUUUAAAAAAUAAAGUUUCCUCUACUUUUACUGAGAAGCCAAGAGACUAGUUGGCUCAUGGGAUCAAGCAUGAUGUAUGGAGUCUUUCACCUCUUGUUCACAUCUGGCGGGAUGCAGUGAGAAAUGUUCCUGCUUGGCAGCUGGUUGGUGUCCCGUUUGUCACUGUCGUGUUCAGGUGGACUCUUGCUCUCGGGGUCGCAGUCCGUCCCCAGCAGCGGGCAGCUCUGCAGCCAGGGACACUGAGCACGGUGUGGGGUUUAUCUCUGCCCCUGGGGCUGUCCCCCUGGGCCAGGACAGAGUCCUGCUAUCAGGAGGCAGAAGAAGAAUGAACAGUAGCUGCUGCUGCUGCUGGUAGGGCUGGAGGAAGCCUUGGUAACCCUGCCGUGUUUAGCAUUACUAGAGCAUCUGGGGAAAUAAACAGCUUGUUUUU